UUAACAUCUCAGGUGAUUCUCAUCUGUAGUUAGGUUGGGGAACUUUCCCGGUCAUCUUGGUGAUUCUCCCAUACCUCAUUAAUAUCAUGAGCCAGCUGACCAGGGUUAAAGAGCCCUGCUAUUUGCCAUUGUAUGACUUUGGGCAAAACUGUUUACCUGUCUGUGCCUCAGCUUCCACAAAUGCAGAGGGAGUUAAUAGUUUCUAGCGCAGAUUCUUGUUCAGAAGCUAAAGUGAGGAAAUCCAUGUACAGCAGCAGGAUGCUAAUAAGCUUCUGGCCAUACCUACCGUAAAGCAGAUCACCUUUUGGCAGACCUGUGUGAUUGUAAGGGAAGCCUGUCUACGUGACCUUGCAUCAGCAUCCCUCUAUGCAGCGAUGGUCAUCAAGUAUCGUAUGUCACUUGAUGAAAACGAGCAGCCAUCGCACCUUUAUAAAUCGUCAAAGUGGCUAAGGUGGUAGAGAAUGAGACUGAGGCUCCUGCUGGCCGACCAUCUUUUUUGUCUGUUGGAGGAAGGAGAGAUUACAUUGUUUACAGCCUGACUGGACCAUGAAUGAAGACAUUUACGUUUAUGUGGACAAGAAGAAAGAUUCCUUGAGGGCAUCUCAGAAAUCAGCACAACCCUAUCCAUCAAAAUCGAAAUGAUACAAACAUGUAAACCCUUCAUUUGAAAAGGGACCUCUGCUUGAGAAGGACCUGCUAGGUUUAGAGGCUCGGAUUUCAUUGAUAAGAAAGAACAAGUUCAUCAGUCUCUCUGCUCAUCGUAAAAGUGGCAAGAAUCAUUUGCAAAAGGCUGGCUCUUUGUUCCCUGCAGACGUGGAUGUAUCCCUGUUGUGUGUGUCUACAAAAUAAAAUAGCACCUUUAGAGUCAUGACAAUAGGAAAUGAUUUAACUUCAACCAACUUGGGUUGGUCAAAUUUGCAACUAAAUGAUCCAUAUGACAUUGUAAAGCCCAGUGGAAAUCGUGACUUGAUUGUGGAUUGUGUGUUGCAUAGUGCUGAGAAAUAUCUUAAUUUUUUUCCCCUUU